rnacentral:miRNA from 14 species
CAAUCUGAAUGUGCAUUUUCACU